rnacentral:rRNA from 1 species
GUUGAACGCUGGCGGCAGGCCUAACACAUGCAAGUCGAACGGUAACAUGAACUAGCUUGCUAGUUUGAUGACGAGUGGCGGACGGGUGAGUAAUGCUUGGGAAUUUGCCUUUAGGUGGGGGACAACAGUUGGAAACGACUGCUAAUACCGCAUAGUAGCUACGGCUUAAAGAGGGCUCCGGCUCUCGCCUUUAGAGAAGCCCAAGUGGGAUUAGGUAGUUGGUGAGGUAAAGGCUCACCAAGCCGACGAUCCCUAGCUGGUCUGAGAGGAUGAUCAGCCACACUGGAACUGAGACACGGUCCAA